UCCUCCUGAGUUGUUGAACUGCUUCGUAUUAUUGAUCUGCCUGGUCCAUCCAAAAACAGCAGAUGGCUCCAACGGCUGAAUGAUCUGUGUAACGCCCAGUGGGGUUUGCUGUGUGUCUCUCUGUCUCGAACUAUUUCGAAAAUACGACUUUCAUCAUGGAUAGCCAACACAUUAUUUACAUCUUUGGUCAAUGUCUUAUUGUGCUUCAAGCAGCCAUUUUUUUCCUGAGCAUGGUCGACGCAGCAGCUGACAUUUCGACAACCCUUCCACCAAAUUUUGUCCCCGUGAUCGAUGGUGCAGUAACAGUGAGGCCAGCUGACCUUCCCGAAAUUCUGUCUGUUCCCGACGCCAAAGGGGAAAUUUGCACGUUAGCAAGCUUAGAAGCGACGAUCGUGAUCUGGCCAGAAGGCGAUGAAUCACGCAAUGUGCAAAUCAAAAUGCCCGAUCGCGACGUGAACGUCUCGACCGUUCAAAAUUGCUUCAACAAUCCAUCGUCAUCGGUCAAACCACUUUUGGUAGUCACGUGGUCGUCGUCCUUUCAACUGUGCUUCUACAUCUCCAAAGACGAAAACCAGUGGAGUCUGGAUCAAAUCGUCUUCGCCUUCAACACUUCAGAAGUUCCGCUCGGUAUCGUCAAAAGUGAAUUGAGGACGUUUAGGAGCGAGGCGAAUGCUCUGUCAGACCUGAAAGCUCCGCUUGGAUCCUUCUAUCGUUGCUUUUCUCCCAAGCCGUUGUCCUUAUUACCGUUAGAUGGCGACAGUGUUGUUUUGGGCCAAAAUAAGAGUCAAAAUAUCCAAGAUAAAGCUUUUCUUCGUCUCAGCAAUUUCGAAUUGCAGCCAUUUCUCGGUGAUCUGAAAGAGUUUGGAGAAGAGGUUGUUUGCCGUGAAGAUGUGAUAACGAAACGUCAUCGACGUCGUCGAGAUUCUAGCGUGACGAUUGCGGUUGGCAGUUCCCUAGCUGUCAUUUCCGUCGUGACCGUGAUGGGCUACGCCAUUUUCCGUUACGUCAAGGUCAAGGCUGUCGGUUAUGAUACCAUGAAAUAAUCGAUUUAGUUUACAGAAAAUAGUCAACAGCAUCAGACCGCACUAGGGCUUCAGAGAAAGAGGCAGAUCAAUAAAAACAGAUGUGCCACUCAGCAGUUAACCCAAGUCUUCCAUGAUCCGUAUUAUUUUUUACGUAAAUUAAUGUACUGUCCUGAUGUAUUUACGCCUGGCCCGCCCUCUUUUUGAAUAGUUUUUCAUAGGCUUUCCUCGUAUACGUUGCAGUGUGUAUUGUUACGUCUAGUAGACUGAAUUCAUACAAAUGUUUCAUUACAUGUA
rnacentral:misc_RNA from 1 species